rnacentral:lncRNA from 1 species
GAACCUAAAGAAGGCUUUGGAUGCCUUGCCCAUUUUUCUUCUUUUGGCUUUGUUCUACUCUUCAUUUGAUAUCCAAAACUCAACAUUACUCAUUACCAUAUAAUAGGACUUGCCUAUUCCAUCCAAUUCAAAUUCAACUAUGAAAAUUUCUAUCUCCUCAUUGGACUUAAUCAACGAAUCAAUAUAUUGACAAUCAACUAAGUCAGAAAAAUGUAAGUUGAUUUUCUCCUCAUUGAUUGCCACAUCCUCGUAUAGCUCCGUUGUGAAUAAUUUUUCAUUCUCUUCAAGCAUUUCUUCAAUGGUUGAUAUUUCAUCGAAUUGAAUGAUCGGUCCGCUAUCAAACUCUACAGGCAAUCCUACUAUUUGUAAUCUCCCACAAGCUUGUCAUCUUCAUCCAGCAUGCCAAGUUUAUUGUAAUACUUUGCAAGUACCAUCUUGUUCAAAAAUGGAGGACCAUCUCCCGAAGGUUUAACAUCAUCGUCCCAAUCAUCAGGUACAUAAUCUCACGCGAGCAUAUAACUAUUAUUGAAAUUGUCCGGUGCUUGUUUUCGACAUUUCAAAUAUUAUCUAAAUCAAAGAAGUUUAGACAUAGAGGUAUCAGUGCAUGAA